GGGGGAAUUUGGACAUGGGCGAAAGCCUGAUCAGCCAUGCCGCGUGUGUGAUGAAGGCCUUCGGGUUGUAAAGCUCUUUUGUUAGGGAAGAAAACCUUUGCACUUGUGGAAAGCUGACCGGACGGUACCAAUAAACUACGCCCAAGCUUAUUCCGUGCCCCCAGCCGCUAUAAUA
rnacentral:rRNA from 1 species